UUAUGGCCAUAUCAUGUUGAAACAUUGGUUCCUGUACGAUCACCGAUGAUAAGCAACGUCGAUCCUGGCGCGUCCCUAGAUGGGUGACCGGUUGGGAAUACCAGGUGUUGUAA